rnacentral:rRNA from 1 species
UACGUAGGGGCUAGCGUUGUCCGGAUUUAUUGGGCGUAAAGAGCGUGUAGGCGGCCAGGUAGGUCUGCUGUGAAAACUCGAGGCUCAACCUCGAGCUGUCGGCGGAAACCAUUUGGCUAGAGUCCGGAAGAGGAGAGUGGAAUUCCUGGUGUAGCGGUGAAAUGCGCAGAUAUCAGGAAGAACACCUAUGGCGAAGGCAGCUCUCUGGGACGGUACUGACGCUGAGACGCGAAAGCGUGGGGAGCGAACAGG